AGAGUAAAUUUUGCAGAAUGGAUUUUCUCAGAUUUUCGCUUCACUUGAUCGAUUGCCUAGCCUGGCCGGUAGUUGCUCUGGGCUAUCCUAUAUGUGCAUCAAUACGAGCAAUUGAGACUGGCUCCAAGUAUCACAUGAGGAAGCUCGUCAUAUAUUGGACUAUCUUUUCUUUUAUUUCUCUCUUCCAACACCUAUUUGACAAACUUAUCCAAUGGGUUCCUCUGUGGCCACAUAUAAAAUUAAUUACCAUAUGUUGGUUGGUGAUACCACGGUUUAACGGGGCAUGUUAUCUUUAUGAAGUUCUAGUUCGUCCAUGUUUACUGGUUAAAUGGCACGAUAGUAUCAGUCAGUUUAAUAGUUCUUGUUAUGUUUAUCUACGCCUUUCAUGUUUGUGCUUGUCUGUCAACCUUCGAACUGUUGCCCACUGGUUUAACAAGCCAAUGGAGGAUCAAUCUCUCAAGAAUGAAACAUUUCUGUCUGUGGUAGAGGGGUAUCUCAAAGAAAAUGGAUCGGAUGCUCUGGAGAAACAUAUUGCAAACAAGUAUAAGGAUUAUAGUUCGAAACAUCAUGCAGAAGAGAUCAAGCCUACUGAUACUAGUGAUGAAGCAGGAAGGAUUACCCCCAACCAGACACAAUGUGAAGGGAGUGGUCCUGUUUGGGAAGAUAUCACAGUGAUGGAGCAUAUGGCAAAACAUGAAGCAGCUGAGCCCAAACAGGUUAAGAGUUUGAAGGAAAAUCCAAUUAUAAUUGAGAAGAAAACAAAAGGACUGCAGGUCAGGGAAUUGGUAGUUCCAGCAGAUGCUGAAGAGAUAAACUUCCAGAGGUUGCUUCUUCAGAGAAAGUUCAGACAGAGUGGACUUGUGCAUUAUGCGAAAUGACAACCACCUCGGAGCAGAACAUGAAGUCCCAUCUUAACGGAAGGAAACAUAAAGCUAAGUAUGAAGGGCUGAAAACUUGCGAACAAACGUCCAAAAGCGAUGGAAGUUUACCAGUUCCAACAAAGUCAAAUCAGCUUAAUCUGGAGCAAGUAAAACAUGCAUCUGCAGCACAACCACAGCACAGUGCUAAUGAAGCAGUUGAGCCUAAACAGGUUAAAAGUGUGAAGGAACAUCCAAUUCAGAUUGAGAAGAAAACAACAGGUGUGCAGAUCAAGGAUACAGCAUUUCCAGCAGAUGCCAAGGAGAUUAAACUCCCAGAAAUCAAUCCUCUAAAGAAUGUUCAGACAGAGUGGACUUGUGCGGUAUGUCAAGUGACAACCACCUCAAAGCAUGACUUGAAGUGCCAUCUUCUAGGGACAAGACGUAGGAUAAAGUGUGAAGAGCUGAAGAGAACGUCCAAAACUGAAAGAAACCCACCUUCUACUUCAAAUAUACCGGAGCUUAAGCAGAAGCAAGUAAAACAUGCACUUGCAGCACAAAACAAGAACAGCACUAAUAAAAAACCUAAAGAAAAUGUCCAACUGGGAGCUACUACCGGGCAACAUCAAAGGCAGACACAAGUGAAGAAUGCUGGUGGUGCUACUCAUAAUUCUAAGCUGUGGUGUAGUUUUUGUGACAUUAGGUGCCCUGAUGAGAUUGCUAUGGCUGCACAUCUUAACGGUAAGAAGCACUUGGCAAAACUUCAAGAAAGAAUGAGUUUUACUAGUGGCACAUGGGCUUUGAAUUAUGCAAAUAUGCAAUUUUACCAGGGUAUUUGAAGGUGUUUGGUCUAAUUUAGGUUGUAGUAACUGUGUUCGAUUAUCAACACUGAAAUGUAGUUGCUUAUUCACUGGGAAGGACAAAGAGGAAAAGUUUAUGCCGACAAGUGAGAUCUGUGUAUGGUCAUUUGGUAUGAGGAAUCAGAGCUACUGGUUUUUAACUUUGCUUUUUGUUUCUUCAUAUCUGUUUUAUAUAGUUGUCUUUUAUGCUAAUUUUACCAGCUAUAGAGGUUUUACUUCAUAUCAUUUAAAUA